GCGAGCGUGGCGGAAAGGCAGACGCGCUAGAUUCAGGAUCUAGUGGGAAUUACUCCCGUGGAGGUUCAAGUCCUCUCGCUCGCACCA
rnacentral:tRNA from 1 species